rnacentral:rRNA from 1 species
CGGGGUGAGUAACGCGUGGAUAACCUGCCUCACACUGGGGGAUAACAGUUAGAAAUGACUGCUAAUACCGCAUGAGCGCACAGUACCGCAUGGUACGGUGUGAAAAACUCCGGUGGUGUGAGAUGGAUCCGCGUCUGAUUAGCCAGUUGGCGGGUACGGCCCACCAAAGCGACGAUCAGUAGCCGACCUGAGAGGGUGACCGGCCACAUUGGGACUGAGACACGGCCCAA